rnacentral:rRNA from 1 species
UACGAAGGGGGCUAGCGUUGUUCGGAAUUACUGGGCGUAAAGCGCACGUAGGCGGAUAUUUAAGUCAGGGGUGAAAUCCCAGAGCUCAACUCUGGAACUGCCUUUGAUACUGGGUAUCUCGAGUAUGGAAGAGGUGAGUGGAAUUCCGAGUGUAGAGGUGAAAUUCGUAGAUAUUCGGAGGAACACCAGUGGCGAAGGCGGCUCACUGGUCCGAUUACUGACGCUGAGGAGCGAAAGCGUGGGGAGCGAAACAGG